UAGGGAAUUUUCGUCAAUGGGCGCAAGCCUGAACGAGCAAUGCCGCGUGAACGAGGAAGGUCUUCGGAUCGUAAAGUUCUGUUGAAGGGGAAAAAGGGAACGGAUAGGAAAUGAUCUGUUGGUGAUAUUACCCUUCGAGGAAGUCACGGCUAACUACGUGCCAGCAGCCGCGGUAAUACGUAGGUGGCGAGCGUUAUCCGGAAUGAUUGGGCGUAAAGGGUGCGUAGGCGGUCGAUUAAGUCUGGAGUGAAAGGUACCGGCUCAACCGGUAUAGGCUCUGGAAACUGAUGGACUGGAGUACAG
rnacentral:rRNA from 1 species